UUUACGCUGUAACAUAUUUUAUUUGAACAAACACAAAGUUAACGAAAUGGACUCUCAGUAGAAUGAUGUGGAUAAUAAAUCAUGUAACAAAUCCAUGAAUCUGUCCUCUUGUUCAGGUGUUUGUACCAGGUGAUAACAGAUCAAGUCCAGGUUCAGACGUCCAGCUGUGAACAGAGCCUAAAACUGGUACUAACUCAGAUACCUGCUGCAGCUCACUGUCUUGGUUCAAGGCUGACUUCAGCUUCCAUGCAGACAUUAAAGAUCACAGGGGGAUGCAGAGGUGGAAUGGGGCAAAAAAAUUGGCCCUGGAUUUUUUUGGUCCAGACCAACAACAAUCUGUGUGCAGAUAUUGUGCCAACUCGCCCCGUUGAUGUACAUACAAACACGCAAUAACACCACAAUAUUAAACAAUAUCCCUUUAUAUUCUGAGGCCUUGAAUUAAAUGUGAUAACUACACAGUGUGUCGCUCACUUGCCACUGUAUGAAAGCUACCUUCUAAUGCUGCCAUCCUCGCAGCGGAAAACUUUCUGCCAUUUGGGGUUCUUUGUAGUUUUUAGGAUGGGUGAAAUAAUCUAUGGGUGGGCUCACUGGGGUGCUUGAGGUCUCUGGUGAGAUCAUCUCUACAGAAGAUGAUAGAAUAGAAUAACAGAAUAUUUUUUUUGUGGAUCACAAAAGUGUUAUCCUAUCAGCUUCAUUUUCAACACGAAAGGUUACCACUCAGACAAAACAACACAUAUUUGAUAUUUGUGUUUCAUAAGUUACUAAACUUACUGCGUUGUAAUCAGAGUGUGUAACCAGGUAAUCAACAAACUGCUGCAGCUUUAGAUGGAGAGUAGUAACAGUGGCAGCCAGGACUCUCCCUGCUCUGUAGAAACAUAUUUUCCUCCAUCAUUAACUGGAGUUUUAUGACUCUUUCUUCUCCCUCCUCUUCCUCAGGUGUGUUUCCAGGUGCAGCCUUCAACACAGUGCCCCCCCGCCCCCUCGUACCGUAAUCAGGGUCUGUUACCUGUGGGUGAUCCGGGGGCAGCAGGGGC